ACAGCAGAUAUGCCUAAUCCCGGGCGCCUCGCCCGGGAGCCGGGGAACCACCGCAUCUGGGGUGAACCACAUCAGUGGAAGGGCUUCCUCCAGCCCGAACCCGUCAGCUAACCCGGCCGGCUGAAGGAGAGGAGAG
rnacentral:sRNA from 1 species